GAAUAGGGGAGCCGGAGGGAAACCGAGUCUUAAUUGGGCGUUAAGUUGCAGGGUAUAGACCCGAAACCCGGUGAUCUAGCCAUGGGCAGGUUGAAGGUUGGGUAACACUAACUGGAGGACCGAACCGACUAAUGUUGAAAAAUUAGCGGAUGACCUGUGGCUGGGGGUGAAAGGCCAAUCAAACCGGGAGAUAGCUGGUUCUCCCCGAAAGCUAUUUAGGUAGCGCCUCGUGAAUUCAUCUCCGGGGGUAGAGCACUGUUUCGGCUAGGGGGCCAUCCCGGCUUACCAACCCGAUGCAAACUGCGAAUACCGGAGAAUGUUAUCACGGGAGACACACGGCGGGUGCUAACGUCCGUCGUGAAGAGGGAAACAACCCAGACCGCCAGCUAAGGUCCCAAAGUCAUGGUUAAGUGGGAAACGAUGUGGGAAGGCCCAGACAGCCAGGAUGUUGGCUUAGAAGCAGCCAUCAUUUAAAGAAAGCGUAAUAGCUCACUGGUCGAGUCGGCCUGCGCGGAAGAUGUAACGGGGCUAAACCAUGCACCGAAGCUGCGGCAGCGACACUGUGUGUUGUUGGGUAGGGGAGCGUUCUGUAAGCCUGUGAAGGUGUGUCGUGAGGCAUGCUGGAGGUAUCAGAAGUGCGAAUGCUGACAUAAGUAACGAUAAAGCGGGUGAAAAGCCCGCUCGCCGGAAGACCAAGGGUUCCUGUCCAACGUUAAUCGGGGCAGGGUGAGUCGACCCCUAAGGCGAGGCCGAAAGGCGUAGUCGAUGGGAAACGGGUUAAUAUUCCCGUACUUGGUGUUACUGCGAAGGGGGGACGGAGAAGGCUAUGUUGGCCGGGCGACGGUUGUCCCGGUUUAAGCGUGUAGGUGUGUGUUCCAGGUAAAUCCGGUUCACUUUAACACUGAGGCGUGACGACGAGGCACUACGGUGCUGAAGCAACAAAUGCCCUGCUUCCAGGAAAAGCCUCUAAGCAUCAGGUAACAUCAAAUCGUACCCCAAACCGACACAGGUGGUCAGGUAGAGAAUACCAAGGCGCUUGAGAGAACUCGGGUGAAGGAACUAGGCAAAAUGGUGCCGUAACUUCGGGAGAAGGCACGCUGACACGUAGGUGAAGUGAUUUACUCAUGGAGCUGAAGUCAGUCGAAGAUACCAGCUGGCUGCAACUGUUUAUUAAAAACACAGCACUGUGCAAACACGAAAGUGGACGUAUACGGUGUGACGCCUGCCCGGUGCCGGAAGGUUAAUUGAUGGGGUCAGCGCAAGCGAAGCUCCUGAUCGAAGCCCCGGUAAACGGCGGCCGUAACUAUAACGGUCCUAAGGUAGCGAAAUUCCUUGUCGGGUAAGUUCCGACCUGCACGAAUGGCGUAAUGAUGGCCAGGCUGUCUCCACCCGAGACUCAGUGAAAUUGAACUCGCUGUGAAGAUGCAGUGUACCCGCGGCAAGACGGAAAGACCCCGUGAACCUUUACUAUAGCUUGACACUGAACAUUGAGCCUUGAUGUGUAGGAUAGGUGGGAGGCUUUGAAGCGUGGACGCCAGUCUGCGUGGAGCCGACCUUGAAAUACCACCCUUUAAUGUUUGAUGUUCUAACGUGGACCCGUGAUCCGGGUUGCGGACAGUGUCUGGUGGGUAGUUUGACUGGG
rnacentral:rRNA from 1 species